rnacentral:rRNA from 1 species
UACGGAGGGGGCUAGCGUUGUUCGGAAUUACUGGGCGUAAAGCGCACGUAGGCGGCUUUGUAAGUUAGAGGUGAAAGCCCGGGGCUCAACUCCGGAACUGCCUUUAAGACUGCAUCGCUAGAACGAUGGAGAGGUAAGUGGAAUUCCGAGUGUAGAGGUGAAAUUCGUAGAUAUUCGGAAGAACACCAGUGGCGAAGGCGACUUACUGGACAUCUGUUGACGCUGAGGUGCGAAAGCGUGGGGAGCAAACAGG